rnacentral:lncRNA from 1 species
CUCUUGCUGUAGGAGCACCAACCCGACGAGCAUCAUUUUUGUUGGUGCACAGAGGAAAGCUGUAGGUGAAGCCAGAAGAUCCCCCUUUGCCUGACAGGAGCUUUACAAAGGAAGGUCGGUCACCAGGUACCCAUUACGUAGGCAAAGGAAGCUGAGACUCAUGCAAAGCCUCUGGCAAAGGUGGAAACAAAACCUCGGGCUGUGAUCCUGCAUUAACAGCCUUCUGGAUCUGCCUGCCUGGAGCUCCUUACAGAUGAGCAGUCUGGGACUGGACCGGUGAAGACGUAACUCCCUUUGUGCCUGCUGUUACUGCUGAUCCCCCAAAAGGCUGCCUGUCGCUGCUGCUGGUGACACCCAGACCUCUGCCAUCGCAGCACCUGAUCACAGCAGGUCUCAACACCCGGCUACUCCCACAGAUGUCUUGAGGGCGAGGCAAGAGGGGGAGACACAAAAGGAGAUGUGGAGAAGUGUUGGAGAAGAGCAGAGAACAAACCUAGAGGAGUGGGCUGCUACAGGAACCAGCUUCACUUCUUGGCGUUGCAUUCUGCUGCAGCAUGGCUCCAGUCUGGGCUAUCCCAUAGCCUGUAGGGUCUGUGUUAACUCCACAUCUAUCAAAGCUGGCAUGAUGCAGGAGCUUAAAAUAGAAACCAAACACACUCCUUGCUGGAAGAAAAGGAGGAAGGGGUUGUCAGAGAUGUCUGCAGAACUCACCAUGUGUGGCCUGGACAUGGAAGCGGUGCCCCCUGGCCCCGUGGCUGGUGGGUGGAGCAUGAAGAGUGACACAGGAAUAUCCAAAACUGUGUGUGACAUACUUAGGGAAAUGCUAAAGCUGUUGGCUUCAAAGCAGGGGUUAAUCUGCUUGGCUUAGGGAAAAGGUGCUGAAUUUGAUGGACUGCUUGGCUGGUCCAGGACUGCAGUUCCUGAGUGCCUCUCAAGUUCGGUAUCACCAAGGACAUUACAAACGCUCAUCCACUUACAAUUUCUCCCAAGACAGGAAAAUUCAUGGGUAGUUUUUCACCAACAAGGACUGUUCUGAUCUUACAUGUUUUUAAAUGUUGUUGCCAAAUGAGACAACAUAAAUAAAACCCCACCCCAACAGGUCCUGACCUCGGCU